ensembl:snoRNA
CCCUCCUACAAAGGCAUGUCUUGGCUUCCUUUUCUUUGGACACAUUAGAAUUGGAGGCAAAAAAAAUGUUGAUUUGGAGACAUCAGGGCCAACCUGCUCUCCACAGCCUCCUAAAAUUACAAAAAA